UAGUCCAUGCCGUAAACGAUGAUUACUCGGUAUUAGUCUGACUAGUGCCUAAGCGAAAGUGAUAAGUGACCCACCUGGGGAGUACGUUCGCAAGAAUGAAACUCAAAGGAGUUGACGGGGGCCCGCACAAGCGGUGGAGCAUGUGGUUUAAUUCGAUGAUACGCGAGGAACCUUACCAGGGCUUAAAUGUAAGUUGCAUUAGUUAGAGAUAGCUAUUUCUUCGGACUACUUACAAGGUGCUGCAUGGUUGUCGUCAGCUCGUGCCGUGAGGUGUCAGGUUAAGUCCUAUAACGAGCGCAACCCCUGUUGUUAGUUGCCAGCAUGUAAAGAUGGGAACUCUAACAAGACUGCCGGUGCAAACCGCGAGGAAGGUGGGGAUGACGUCAAAUCAUCACGGCCCUUACGUCCUGGGCUACACACGUGCUACAAUGGUAGGGACAGAGAGCAGCCACUUCGUGAGAAGGAGCGAAUCUAUAAACCCUAUCACAGUUCGGAUCGGAGU
rnacentral:rRNA from 1 species